UGUUGCCUCGGCGGGGUCACGCCCCGGGUGCGUCGCAGCCCCGGAACCAGGCGCCCGCCGGAGGGACCAACCAAACUCUUUUCUGUAGUCCCCUCGCGGACGUUAUUUCUUACAGCUCUGAGCAAAAAUUCAAAAUGAAUCAAAACUUUCAACAACGGAUCUCUUGGUUCUGGCAUCGAUGAAGAACGCAGCGAAAUGCGAUAAGUAAUGUGAAUUGCAGAAUUCAGUGAAUCAUCGAAUCUUUGAACGCACAUUGCGCCCGCCAGUAUUCUGGCGGGCAUGCCUGUCCGAGCGUCAUUUCAACCCUCGAACCCCUCCGGGGGGUCGGCGUUGGGGAUCGGGAACCCCUAAGACGGGAUCCCGGCCCCGAAAUACAGUGGCGGUCUCGCCGCAGCCUCUCCUGCGCAGUAGUUUGCACAACUCGCACCGGGAGCGCGGCGCGUCCACGUCCGUAAAACACCCAACUUCUGAAAUGUUGACCUCGGAUCAGGUAGGAAUACCCGCUGAACUUAAGCAUAUCAAUA
rnacentral:rRNA from 1 species